rnacentral:rRNA from 1 species
GUCUAUGGCCAUGCCACCCUGAACAAGCCCGAUCCCAUCUGAACUCGGAAGCUAAGCAGGGUAGGGCCUGGUUAGUACUUGGAUGGGAGACCACCUAGGAAGACCAGAUGCUGUAGGCA